rnacentral:ncRNA from 1 species
GAGAGCCGUGUGCGGGAAAACCGCACGCACGGUUCGGAGGGAAGGGCGGGCCAAACCCGUCCCUACCCCUAU